rnacentral:miRNA from 1 species
AGAGACGGCGCUUGGUGAAAUCC